GUCGAACGGAUCCUUCGGGAUUAGUGGCAGACGGGUGAGUAACGCGUGGGAAGCUACCUUGUGGUAGGGGACAACAGUUGGAAACGACUGCUAAUACCCUAUGAGCCCUAUGGGGGAAAGAUUUAUCGCCAUGAGAUGUGCCCGCGUUAGAUUAGCUAGUUGGUAAGGUAAUGGCUUACCAAGGCGACGAUCUAUAGCUGGUCUGAGAGGAUGAUCAGCCACACUGGGACUGAGACACGGCCCAGACUCCUACGGGAGGCAGCAGUGGGGAAUAUUGGACAAUGGGGGCAACCCUGAUCCAGCCAUGCCGCGUGUGUGAUGACGGCCUUAGGGUUGUAAAGCACUUUCAGCAGUGAAGAUAAUGACAUUAACUGCAGAAGAAGCCCCGGCUAACUUCGUGCCAGCAGCCGCGGUAAUACGAAGGGGGCUAGCGUUGUUCGGAAUCACUGGGCGUAAAGAGUACGUAGGCGGACUGAUAAGUUAGGGGUGAAAUCCCAAGGCUCAACCUUGGAACUGCCUUUGAUACUGUCAGUCUUGAGAUCGAGAGAGGUGAGUGGAAACUCCGAGUGUAGAGGUGAAAUUC
rnacentral:rRNA from 1 species